rnacentral:rRNA from 1 species
GACGAACGCUGGCGGCGUGCUUAACACAUGCAAGUCGAACGGUAAGGCCCUUCGGGGUACACGAGUGGCGAACGGGUGAGUAACACGUGGGUGAUCUGCCCUGCACUUCGGGAUAAGCCUGGGAAACUGGGUCUAAUACCGGAUAGGACCACUGCCUGCAUGGGUGGUGGUGGAAAGCUUUUGCGGUGUGGGAUGGGCCCGCGGCCUUUCAGCUUGUUGGUGGGGUGAUGGCCUACCAAGGCGACGACGGGUAGCCGGCCUGAGAGGGGGACCGGCCACACUGGGACUGAGAUACGGCCCAGACUCCUACGGGAGGCAGCAGUGGGGAAUAUUGCACAAUGGGCGCAAGCCUGAUGCAGCGACGCCGCGUGAGGGAUGACGGCCUUCGGGUUGUAAACCUCUUUCAGCAGGGAAGAAGCGAAAGUGACGGUACAUGCAGAAGAAGCACCGGCUAACUAUGUGCCAGCCGCCGCAGUAA